UGAUACCAGUGUCAACAGGUCAAAAAGCUGUUCGUGCUUGCACAAUAAGGCUUUUGAACUUGGAUGAGAAAGCAGCGAUUUACGCAGUAAAUCAGCGGAUUUCGAAUAUUUGAAGGAUUGCGGGAGCAGCGCAGCUGCGUAGCAAUCCGGGUAUCA
rnacentral:sRNA from 1 species